UACGUAGGGUGCAAGCGUUGUCCGGAAUUAUUGGGCGUAAAGGGCUCGUAGGCGGUCUGUUACGUCUGCUGUGAAAACCCAGGGCUUAACCCUGGGCUUGCAGUGGAUACGGGCAGACUAGAGGCAGGUAGGGGAGAAUGGAAUUCCCGGUGUAGCGGUGAAAUGCGCAGAUAUCGGGAGGAACACCGGUGGCGAAGGCGGUUCUCUGGGCUGCACCUGACGCUGAGAUGCGAAAGUGUGGGGAGCAAACGGG
rnacentral:rRNA from 1 species